rnacentral:rRNA from 1 species
AGCGAACGCUGGCGGCAGGCCUAACACAUGCAAGUCGAACGAUCCUUCGGGAUAGUGGCGGACGGGUGAGUAACACGUGGGAACGUGCCCUUUGGUACGGAACAACUCAGGGAAACUUGAGCUAAUACCGUAUGAGCCCUUCGGGGGAAAGAUUUUUCGCCAUUGGAGCGGCCCGCGUCUGAUUAGCUAGUUGGUGAGGUAAAGGCUCACCAAGGCUACGAUCAGUAGCUGGUCUGAGAGGAUGAUCAGCCACAUUGGGACGGAGACACGGCCCAAAAUCCUACGGGAGGCAGUAGCGGGGAAUCUUGCGCAAUGGGCGAAAGCCUGACGCAGCCAUGCCGCGUGAAUGAUGAAGGUCUUAGGAUUGUAAAAUUCUUUCACCGGGGAAGAUAAUGACGGUACCCGGAGAAGAAGCCCCGGCUAACUUCGUGCCAGCAGCCGCCGUAACAC